UCUAAAGACUUUUUGAUAUCACAUACAGAA
rnacentral:piRNA from 1 species